GCACCCGUGGCCCAACUGGAUAAGGCACCGGUCUACGAAACCGGCGAUUACUGGUUCGAAUCCAGUCGGGUGCACCA
rnacentral:tRNA from 3 species